UACGUAGGUGGCAAGCGUUGUCCGGAAUUAUUGGGCGUAAAGAGCUCGUAGGCGGUCUGUCACGUCGGCUGUGAAAACCCGAGGCUCAACCUCGGGCCUGCAGUCGAUACGGGCAAACUAGAGUGUUGCAGGGGAGACUGGAAUUCCUGGUGUAGCGGUGAAAUGCGCAGAUAUCAGGAGGAACACCGGUGGCGAAGGCGGGUCUCUGGGCAACAACUGACGCUGAGGUGCGAAAGCGUGGGGAGCAAACAGG
rnacentral:rRNA from 1 species